ensembl:Y_RNA Y_RNA Y RNA
GGCUGGUCCGAGUGCAGUGGUGUUUACAACUAAUUGAUCACAACCAGUUACAGAUUUCUUCGUUCCUUCUCCACUCCCACUGCUUCACUUGACUAGCCUUAA